ACCUACGGGAGGCAGCAGUGGGGAAUAUUGGGCAAUGGGCGCAAGCCUGACCCAGCAACGCCGCGUGAAGGAAGAAGGCUCUCGGGUUGUAAACUUCUUUUAUCAGGGACGAAGCAAGUGACGGUACCUGAUGAAUAAGCCACGGCUAACUACGUGCCAGCAGCCGCGGUAAUACGGAAGGUCCGGGCGUUAUCCGGAUUUAUUGGGUUUAAAGGGAGCGUAGGCCGGCUUUUAAGUCAGCUGUGAAAGUCCGCGGCUCAACCGUGGAAUUGCAGUCGAAACUGGAGGCCUUGAGUGCACACAGG
rnacentral:rRNA from 1 species